GACGAACGCUGGCGGCGUGCUUAACACAUGCAAGUCGAACGGAAAGGCCCUGCUUUUGUGGGGUGCUCGAGUGGCGAACGGGUGAGUAACACGUUAGUAACCUGCCCUUGACUUUGGGAUAACUUCAGGCAACUGGGGCUAAUACCGGAUAGGAUCUCCUGCUGCAUGGUGGGGGUUGGAAAGUUUCGGCGGUUGGGGAUGGACUCGCGGCUUAUCAGCUUGUUGGUGGGGUAGUGGCUUACCAAGGCUUUGACGGGUAGCCGGCCUGCGCGGGUGACCGGACACAUUGGGACUGAGAUAAGGCACAGACUACUACGGGAGGCAGCAGUGGGGAAGAGUGCACAAUGGGCGGAAGCCUGAUGCAGCAACGCCGCGUGCGGGAUGACGGCCUGCGGGUUGUAAACCGCUUUCGCCUGUGACGAAGCGUGAGUGACGGUAAUGGGUAAAGAAGCACCGGCUAACUACGUG
rnacentral:rRNA from 1 species